rnacentral:rRNA from 1 species
UUGUUGGUGAGGUAAUGGCUCACCAAGGCGGCGACGGGUAGCCGGCCUGAGAGGGCGAUCGGCCACACUGGGACUGAGACACGGCCCAGACUCCUACGGGAGGCAGCAGUGGGGAAUAUUGCACAAUGGGCGCAAGCCUGAUGCAGCGACGCCGCGUGAGGGAUGAAGGCCUUCGGGUUGUAAACCUCUUUCAGCAGGGAAGAAGCGAAAGUGACGGUACCUGCAGAAGAAGCACCGGCUAACUACGUGCCAGCAGCCGCGGUAAUACGUAGGGUGCAAGCGUUGUCCGGAAUUAUUGGGCGUAAAGAGCUUGUAGGCGGUUUGUCGCGUCUGCUGUGAAAUUUCGGGGCUCAACCCCGAACUUGCAGUGGGUACGGGCAGACUAGAGUGUGGUAGGGGAGACUGGAAUUCCUGGUGUAGCGGUGAAAUGCGCAGAUAUCAGGAGGAACACCGAUGGCGAAGGCAGGUCUCUGGGCCACUACUGACGCUGAGAAGCGAAAGCAUGGGGAGCGAACAGGAUUAGAUACCCUGGUAGUCCAUGCCGUAAACGGUGGGAACUAGGUGUGGGCCUCAUUCCACGAGGUCCGUGCCGCAGCUAACGCAUUAAGUUCCCCGCCUGGGGAGUACGGCCGCAAGGCUAAAACUCAAAGGAAUUGACGG